GGUUCCAUAGUGUAGCGCAUCUGCUUUACACGCGGAAGGUCCUGGGUUCACACCCCAGUGGAGCCA
rnacentral:tRNA from 1 species